CGAGCGAUGACAUUGUAUUCAGAUGCUAUACCGCAUUAAAGCUACACGGCAUUGGUGUAAGGAUGAAAGGAUGGUUUCGGCUAUCACUUUACGAAUGAACCCGCGUUGCAUUAAGUUUAGUUGUGAGGUAAAGGGCUCACAAGACCGUGAUGCAUAGCCGACCUGAGAGGGUAAAUCGGCACACCUGGGACUGAGACACGGGCCCAGACUCCUACGGGGAGGCAGCAGUAGGGAAUCUUUCCACAAUGGACGAAAAGUCCUGAUGGAGCAACGCCGCGUGAGUGAAGAAGGUUUUCGGAUCGUAAAACUCUGUUGUUGGAGAAGAAUGUAUCUGAUAGUAACUGAUCAGGUAGUGACGGUAUCCAACCAGAAAGCCACGGCUAAUCUACGUGCCAGCAGCCGCGGUAAUACGUAGGUGGCAAGCGUUGUCCGGAUUUAUUGGGCGUAAAGCGAGCGCAGGCGGUUUCUUAAGUCUGAUGUGAAAGCCUUCGGCCUCAACCGAAGAAGUGCAUCGGAAACUGGGAAACGUGAGUGCAGAAGAGGACAGUGGAACUCCAUGUGUAGCGGUGAAAUGCGUAGAUAUAUGGAAGAACACCAGUGGCGAAGGCGGCUGUCUGGUCUGUAACUGACGCUGAGGCUCGAAAGCAUGGGUAGCAAACAGGAUUAGAUACCCUGGUAGUCCAUGCCGUAAACGAUGAGUGCUAGGUGUUGGAGGGUUCCGCCCUUCAGUGCCGCAGCUAACGCAUAAGCAUCCGCUGGGAUGCCCCCCCA
rnacentral:rRNA from 1 species